CGGCGUGCUUACACAUGCAGUCGAACGGUGAUGCCAAGCUUGCUUGGUGGAUCAGUGGCGAACGGGUGAGUAACACGUGAGCAACCUGCCCUGGACUCUGGGAUAAGCGCUGGAAACGGUGUCUAAUACUGGAUAUGAGCUCCUUCCGCAUGGUGGGGGUUGGAAAGAUUUUUCGGUCUGGGAUGGGCUCGCGGCCUAUCAGCUUGUUGGUGAGGUAAUGGCUCACCAAGGCGUCGACGGGUAGCCGGCCUGAGAGGGUGACCGGCCACACUGGGACUGAGACACGGCCCAGACUCCUACGGGAGGCAGCAGUGGGGAAUAUUGCACAAUGGGCGGAAGCCUGAUGCAGCAACGCCGCGUGAGGGAUGACGGCCUUCGGGUUGUAAACCUCUUUUAGCAGGGAAGAAGCUUUUGUGACGGUACCUGCAGAAAAAGCGCCGGCUAACUACGUGCCAGCAGCCGCGGUAAUACGUAGGGCGCAAGCGUUAUCCGGAAUUAUUGGGCGUAAAGAGCUCGUAGGCGGUUUGUCGCGUCUGCUGUGAAAUCCCGAGGCUCAACCUCGGGCCUGCAGUGGGUACGGGCAGACUAGAGUGCGGUAGGGGAGAUUGGAAUUCCUGGUGUAGCGGUGGAAUGCGCAGAUAUCAGGAGGAACACCGAUGGCGAAGGCAGAUCUCUGGGCCGUAACUGACGCUGAGGAGCGAAAGGGUGGGGAGCAAACAGGCUUAGAUACCCUGGUAGUCCACCCCGUAAACGUUGGGAACUAGUUGUGGGGACCAUUCCACGGUUUCCGUGACGCAGCUAACGCAUUAAGUUCCCCGCCUGGGGAGUACGGCCGCAAGGCUAAAACUCAAAGGAAUUGACGGGGACCCGCACAAGCGGCGGAGCAUGCGGAUUAAUUCGAUGCAACGCGAAGAACCUUACCAAGGCUUGACAUACACCAGAACACCGUAGAAAUACGGGACUCUUUGGACACUGGUG
rnacentral:rRNA from 1 species